rnacentral:lncRNA from 1 species
GGACAGACAGACACCGAGACAGACACAGACAGACAGACACAGACAGACAGACACAGACAGACAGACACAGACAGACAGACAGACAGACAUAAAUAGAUAAAGAAAGAAAGAAAGAACGGAAGAAAGAAAAAGACAUACAUACAGACAGACGGAUGGACAGACAGACAGAAAUAAAUAAAUAAAUAAAGGAAGAAAUAAAGGAAGAAAGAAAAAGACAGACAGACAGACAGACAGACAGACAGACAGACGUCCUUGGUGGAGUCCCAUGGUGGAGUACUCCUCAGGCUACAUCAACGCUUGUGGCACGAGCUCGAUUUCUUCUCUCUCUGUCUCUUCUCUCUCUUCUCUCUUUCUGUCUGUGUGUGUCUGUGUGUGUAAACACUCAUGUGGUACACACACACGCCCCCCAUGUACACACAAGUGGGCGAUGUUGGGGUAACAAUAAAACACACAACCACCCACACACAACCUCACACGCACACACAUGACUGUUGGGGCACAUGGUAGUGUUGGGGUAACAUGGAACACACGCAAUCACAGUCCUGAUGGGGCACAUGAUGGGGUUGGGGUAACAUGGAAACAUGCACACACACGGCCACAGAACUAUUCGGGUAUAUGUUGGUGUUGGGGUAACAUAAGACACAGAGACACACAGACAGGCAGAGACAGAGAGACACACACUCACACACACAGAGUCACACAGAGUCACACACAGUCACACACAGAGGCACAGAGACACACA